rnacentral:rRNA from 1 species
GAACGGCAGCGCGGGGCAACCUGGCGGCGGGUGGCGAACGGGUGAGUAAUAUAUCGGAACGUACCCUGGAGUGGGGGAUAACGUAGCGAAAGUUACGCUAAUACCGCAUACGAUCUAAGGAUGAAAGUGGGGGAUCGCAAGACCUCAUGCUCCUGGAGCGGCCGAUAUCUGAUUAGCUAGUUGGUAGGGUAAAAGCCUACCAAGGCAUCGAUCAGUAGCUGGUCUGAGAGGACGACCAGCCACACUGGAACUGAGACACGGUCCAGACUCCUACGGGAGGCAGCAGUGGGGAAUUUUGGACAAUGGGCGCAAGCCUGAUCCAGCAAUGCCGCGUGAGUGAAGUAGGCCUUCGGGUUGUAAAGCUCUUUUGUCAGGGAAGAAACGGUGGGGGCUAAUAUCCUCCACUAAUGACGGUACCUGAAGAAUAAGCACCGGCUAACUACGUG